rnacentral:misc_RNA from 1 species
UGAAAAACUUGCUGAUCUCGAGGCUGCUCCUUCUGCAAUGGCUCGUCUCUUUUCAAUUGACUGGUACAGAAACCGCAUUGAUGGUAAGCAAGAAGUCAUGAUUGGGUACUCGGAUUCAGGGAAGGAUGCUGGUCGUCUAUCUGCAGCUUGGCAGCUAUAUAAGGCUCAAGAAGAACUCAUCCAAGUGGCAAAACAGUAUGGAGUUAAGCUCACAAUGUUCCAUGGCCGAGGAGGAACUGUUGGCAGAGGAGGAGGGCCGACCCACCUUGCUAUAUUAUCUCAG